ACUGGUGUUGCGCGGGAAGUAGUUGGCGAAGACAAAGCCGCGGCAUUGGUCGAUGGAGUGAAAUAGCGGGUUCCAGUCGAACAUCGCAAGCAUGUAGCCGGGCAGCGUGUUGGCGACGAAGAGCUUGCCCGAGGCGAUCAUGUUGGCGCGGGUA
rnacentral:ncRNA from 1 species